rnacentral:rRNA from 1 species
AUGAAGAUCCUCACGGAGCGCGGCUACUCCUUCACCACCACGGCGGAGCGCGAAAUCGUCCGCGACAUGAAGGAGAAGCUCUCCUACAUCGCCCUCGACUACGACCAGGAGAUGGAGACCUCCAAGACCAGCUCCUCCGUGGAGAAGAGCUACGAGCUGCCCGACGGCCAGGUCAUCACCAUCGGCGCCGAGCGCUUCCGCUGCCCGGAGGUGCUCUUCCAGCCAUCCUUCAUCGGGAUGGAAGCCGCGGGGAUCCACGAGACCACCUACAACUCCAUCAUGAAGUGUGAUGUGGACAUCAGGAAGGACCUCUACGGCAACAUCGUCCUCAGUGGUGGCACCACCAUGUUCACCGGCAUCGCCGACAGGAUGAGCAAGGAGAUCACCGCCCUCGCGCCCAGCUCCAUGAAGAUCAAGGUCGUCGCCCCGCCCGAGAGGAAGUACAGUGUGUGGAUCGGAGGCUCCAUCCUCGCCUCCCUCAGCACCUUCCAGCAGAUGUGGAUCGCCAAGGCCGAGUACGACGAAUCCGGACCAUCCAUCGUCCACCGGAAAUGCUUCUAG